rnacentral:rRNA from 1 species
GAUGAACGCUGGCGGCGUGCCUAACACAUGCAAGUCGAACGAAGCACUUUCUUUAGAUUCUUCGGAUGAAGAAGACUGUGACUGAGUGGCGGACGGGUGAGUAACGCGUGGGCAGCCUGCCCUGUACAGGGGGAUAACAGUUAGAAAUGACUGCUAAUACCGCAUAAGCGCACGAGGACGCAUGUUCUUGUGUGAAAAACUCCGGUGGUACAGGAUGGGCCCGCGUCUGAUUAGGUAGUUGGUGGGGCAGCGGCCUACCAAGCCGACGAUCAGUAGCCGACCUGAGAGGGUGACCGGCCACAUUGGGACUGAGACACGGCCCAAACUCCUACGGGAGGCAGCAGUGGGGAAUAUUGCACAAUGGGGGAAACCCUGAUGCAGCGACGCCGCGUGAAGGAAGAAGUAUUUCGGUAUGUAAACUUCUAUCAGCAGGGAAGAAACUGACGGUACCUGACUAAGAAGCACCGGCUAAAUACGUGCCAGCAGCCGCGGUAAUACGUAUGGUGCAAGCGUUAUCCGGAUUUACUGGGUGUAAAGGGAGCGUAGACGGAGAGGCAAGUCUGAAGUGAAAGCCCGGGGCUCAACCCCGGGACUGCUUUGGAAACUGCAGUUCUAGAGUGCCGGAGAGGUAAGCGGAAUUCCUAGUGUAGCGGUGAAAUGCGUAGAUAUUAGGAGGAACACCAGUGGCGAAGGCGGCUUACUGGACGGUGACUGA